UUUCUCACUUUGGAAGCACGUAUACUAAAAUUGGAAUGGUUCAGAGAAGAUUAGCGUGGCCUCUGCACAAGGAUGACAUGCAAAUUCCUGAAGCAUUCUAUGUUUUU
rnacentral:snRNA from 1 species